rnacentral:rRNA from 1 species
AUUGAACGCUGGCGGCAUGCCUUACACAUGCAAGUCGAACGGCAGCGCGGACUUCGGUCUGGCGGCGAGUGGCGAACGGGUGAGUAAUACAUCGGAACGUACCCUGUUGUGGGGGAUAACUAGUCGAAAGAUUAGCUAAUACCGCAUACGACCUGAGGGCGAAAGUGGGGGACCGCAAGGCCUCACGCAGCAGGAGCGGCCGAUGUCUGGUUAGCUAGUUGGUGGGGUAAAGGCCCACCAAGGCGACGAUCAGUAGCUGGUCUGAGAGAACGAUCAGCCACACUGGGACUGAGACACGGCCCAGACUCCUACGGGAGGCAGCAGUGGGGAAUUUUGGACAAUGGGGGCAACCCUGAUCCAGCAAUGCCGCGUGUGUGAAGAAGGCCUUCGGGUUGUAAAGCACUUUUGUCCGGAAAGAAAUCGCGCUGGUUAAUACCUGGCGUGGAUGGCGGUACCGGAAGAAUAAGCACCGGCUAACUACGUGCCAGCAGCCGCGGUAA